rnacentral:rRNA from 1 species
ACGGAAGGCAGCAGUGGGGAGUAUUGGGCAAUGGGCGAAAGCCUGACCCAGCAACGCCGCGUGAAGGAAGAAGGUCUUCGGAUUGUAAACUUCUUUUAUGAGGGACGAAGGAAGUGACGGUACCUCAUGAAUAAGCCACGGCUAACUACGUGCCAGCAGCCGCGGUAAUACGUAGGUGGCAAGCGUUAUCCGGAUUUACUGGGUGUAAAGGGCGCGUAGGCGGGGAGACAAGUCAGAUGUGAAAUCUAUGGGCUUAACCCAUAAACUGCAUUUGAAACUGUAACUUUUGAGUGCUGGAGAGGUAGAUGGAAUUCCUUGUGUAGCGGUGAAAUGCGUAGAUAUAAGGAAGAACACCAGUGGCGAAGGCGAUCUACUGGACAGUAACUUACGCUGAGGCGCGAAAGCGUGGGGAGCGAACAGGAUUAGAUACCCUGGUA